AUGUCCGCCAUAUUCACCAUGAAUACACUUCUCAUAUUUCCCUCUGUCUUACCUCAUCAAUGUUGCAGAUUCAAGUUCAUCUCAACCCUCCUCUUCGAUUUUACGAUUCAUUUUUCAUCAUCUGUUUCUCAUCACCUUCGAGUUCGCCCCGUCCAGCUCACUCACCUCUCCGCCUCAGAUUCAGAGCAACAAAAAGGAGAGAAGAAAUCAAAGAAGAAAGAUUGA